GGCGUUUCUAGCGCAAUUGGUGGAACGGGUGGUCCUUGGAAAGCAUGAAAUGUGGGUUCGAAUCCCGCCUGACGUCA